CGAGCGAGGCCCUCCUUCGGGGGGUGCCCUAGCGGCGAACGGGUGAGUAACACGUGGGCAACCUGCCCUCAGCUCUGGGAUAACUCCAAGAAAUUGGUGCUAAUACCGGAUGUGACCGCUGACCGCAUGGUCUGGUGGUGGAAAGAUUCAUCGGCUGAGGAUGGGCCCGCGGCCUAUCAGCUUGUUGGUGGGGUGAUGGCCUACCAAGGCGACGACGGGUAGCCGGCCUGAGAGGGUGACCGGCCACACUGGGACUGAGACACGGCCCAGACUCCUACGGGAGGCAGCAGUGGGGAAUAUUGCGCAAUGGGCGAAAGCCUGACGCAGCGACGCCGCGUGAGGGAUGACGGCCUUCGGGUUGUAAACCUCUUUCAGUAGGGACGAAGCGCAAGUGACGGUACCUACAGAAGAAGCACCGGCCAACUACGUGCCAGCAGCCGCGGUAAUACGUAGGGUGCAAGCGUUGUCCGGAAUUAUUGGGCGUAAAGAGCUCGUAGGCGGUCUGUCACGUCGGCUGUGAAAACCCGAGGCUCAACCUCGGGCCUGCAGUCGAUACGGGCAAACUAGAGUACUGCAGGGGAGACUGGAAUUCCUGGUGUAGCGGUGAAAUGCGCAGAUAUCAGGAGGAACACCGGUGGCGAAGGCGGGUCUCUGGGCAGUAACUGACGCUGAGGAGCGAAAGCGUGGGGAGCGAACAGGAUUAGAUACCCUGGUAGUCCACGCCGUAAACGUUGGGCGCUAGGUGUGGGGGGCCAUUCCACGGUCUCCGUGCCGCAGCUAACGCAUUAAGCGCCCCGCCUGGGGAGUACGGCCGCAAGGCUAAAACUCAAAGGAAUUGACGGGGGCCCGCACAAGCGGCGGAGCAUGUUGCUUAAUUCGAUGCAACGCGAAGAACCUUACCUAGGCUUGACAUGCACGGAAAUCUCGUAGAGAUACGGGGUGCCUUUGGCGUCGUGCACAGGUGGUGCAUGGUUGUCGUCAGCUCGUGUCGUGAGAUGUUGGGUUAAGUCCCGCAACGAGCGCAACCCUCGUUCUAUGUUGCCAGCACGUGAUGGUGGGGACUCAUAGGAGACUGCCGGGGUCAACUCGGAGGAAGGUGGGGAUGACGUCAAAUCAUCAUGCCCCUUAUGUCUAGGGCUGCAAACAUGCUACAAUGGCCGGUACAAAGGGCUGCGAUACCGCGAGGUGGAGCGAAUCCCAAAAAGCCGGUCUCAGUUCGGAUUGGGGUCUGCAACUCGACCCCAUGAAGUUGGAGUCGCUAGUAAUCGCAGAUCAGCAACGCUGCGGUGAAUACGUUCCCGGGCCUUGUACACACCGCCCGUCACGUCACGAAAGUCGGUAACGCCCGAAGCCGGUGGCCCAACCCUUGUGGAGGGAGCCGUCGAAGGCGGGAUCGGCGA
rnacentral:rRNA from 1 species